AACUGAAACAUCUAAGUACCCCGAGGAAAAGAAAUCAACCGAGAUUCCCCCAGUAGCGGCGAGCGAACGGGGAGGAGCCCAGAGCCUGAAUCAGUGUGUGUGUUAGUGGAAGCGUCUGGAAAGGCGCGCGAUACAGGGUGACAGCCCCGUACACAAAAAUGCACAUAUUGUGAGCUCGAUGAGUAGGGCGGGACACGUGGUAUCCUGUCUGAAUAUGGGGGGACCAUCCUCCAAGGCUAAAUACUCCUGACUGACCGAUAGUGAACCAGUACCGUGAGGGAAAGGCGAAAAGAACCCCGGCGAGGGGAGUGAAAAAGAACCUGAAACCGUGUACGUACAAGCAGUGGGAGCCUCUUAAUGGGGUGACUGCGUACCUUUUGUAUAAUGGGUCAGCGACUUAUAUUCUGUAGCAAGGUUAACCGAAUAGGGGAGCCGAAGGGAAACCGAGUCUUAACUGGGCGUUAAGUUGCAGGGUAUAGACCCGAAACCCGGUGAUCUAGCCAUGGGCAGGUUGAAGGUUGGGUAACACUAACUGGAGGACCGAACCGACUAAUGUUGAAAAAUUAGCGGAUGACUUGUGGCUGGGGGUGAAAGGCCAAUCAAACCGGGAGAUAGCUGGUUCUCCCCGAAAGCUAUUUAGGUAGCGCCUCGUGAAUUCAUCUCCGGGGGUAGAGCACUGUUUCGGCAAGGGGGUCAUCCCGACUUACCAACCCGAUGCAAACUGCGAAUACCGGAGAAUGUUAUCACGGGAGACACACGGCGGGUGCUAACGUCCGUCGUGAAGAGGGAAACAACCCAGACCGCCAGCUAAGGUCCCAAAGUCAUGGUUAAGUGGGAAACGAUGUGGGAAGGCCCAGACAGCCAGGAUGUUGGCUUAGAAGCAGCCAUCAUUUAAAGAAAGCGUAAUAGCUCACUGGUCGAGUCGGCCUGCGCGGAAGAUGUAACGGGGCUAAACCAUG
rnacentral:rRNA from 1 species